rnacentral:sRNA from 1 species
UUUUAGCCCCGAUUGAAGUGGCAUCCCCCGAUUUAUCGGGGAUAUAACGGAAAGCGGGUGGGACG